rnacentral:rRNA from 1 species
GGAUUAGAUACCCUGGUAGUCCUAGCAGUAAACGAUGUCAACUUGGUGUUGGAGGUUCGACCCCUUCAGCGCCGGAGCUAACGUGUUAAGUUGACCGCCUGGGGAGUACGGCCGCAAGGCUAAAACUCAAAGAAAUUGACGGGGGCCCGCACAAGCGGUGGAGCAUGUGGUUUAAUUCGAAGCAACGCGCAGAACCUUACCUGCUCUUGACAUCCCUAUCGCGGUUACCGGAGACGGUUUCCUUCAGUUCGGCUGGAUUGGAUACAGGUGCUGCAUGGCCGUCGUCAGCUCGUGCCG